CUGUGCCUGGCCCAGGGAUAAUUUCUAAAGUUUGACACUACAGAAAUUCCUCUGAACACGUAGAGUACCAGAAACCAUAAGGAAGAGAUUCAGCAUUCUCUCCUAAGCAUGAAGCUGGCUGUUGGCAAUGGCUCCUUGCAAUUGUCAUUUGCCAUAGAUUACGAUCUUCUCUUCCUUUGGGAUAUUAAGAGAGAGGAUGUAGCCUGAGUGGU
rnacentral:snoRNA from 1 species